rnacentral:rRNA from 1 species
CCCCCCGGACGACCCGCGAACUUGUUCUUCACGCACGCCUCGGCGCGGGCGGGGCGCCCCGCGGCCCUCCCUCUCGGGGGCGGCGGCGGGCGUGCCGGCGGCGCCGACAACGAACCCCGGCGCGGGACGCGCCAAGGAGAACCCCAACGAGACGAGACGGCACGCCCCCGGCGCCCGUUCGCGGGCGACGCGGGGCGGCGGCCUCUUUCGCGAAUCGAAACGACUCUCGGCAACGGAUAUCUCGGCUCUCGCAUCGAUGAAGAACGUAGCGAAAUGCGAUACUUGGUGUGAAUUGCAGAAUCCCGUGAACCAUCGAGUCUUUGAACGCAAGUUGCGCCCGAAGCCCUCAAAGGCCGAGGGCACGCCUGCCUGGGCGUCUCGCAACGCGUCGCCCCCCCGAACCCCGCGCGCGGGCGUCGGGGGGCGGACAGUGGCCCCCCGUGAGCGGCAGCUCGCGGCCGGCCUAAAAACCGAGUCGCCGGCGACGGACGGCACGACGAGUGGUGGAAGCAUUAUUGCCACGCGCCUGCGUCGUGCCGCGCCGUCGCACCGGGCGGUCUCGCGCGACCCCGGAGCACCGACCGCGACCCCAGGUCAGGCGGGAUCACCCGCUGAGUUUAAGCAUA